rnacentral:rRNA from 1 species
AUUGAACGCUGGCGGCACGCCUAACACAUGCAAGUCGAGCGGCGGCGAGACUAGUAGCAAUACUAGUUGUCGGCGAGCGGCGGACGGGUGAGUAACACGUAGGAAUCUGCCCUUAAGCGGGGGAUAACCAAGGGAAACUUUGGCUAUUACCGCAUAAUCUCGAGAGAGCAAAGCUGCCCGCAAGGGUGGCACUUGAGGAGGAGCCUGCGUCCGAUUAGCUAGUUGGUGGGGUAAUGGCCUACCAAGGCGAUGAUCGGUAACUGGUCUGAGAGGACGACCAGUCACACUGGGACUGAGACACGGCCCAGACUCCUACGGGAGGCAGCAGUGGGGAAUAUUGGACAAUGGGGGCAACCCUGAUCCAGCGAUGCCGCGUGAGUGAAGAAGGCCUUCGGGUCGUAAAGCUCUUUAGGUUGGGAAGAAGUGUAUUGGCUGAAUAAUCCAGUACAUUGACGGUACCGACAGAAUAAGCACCGGCAAACUCUGUGCCAGCCGCCGCAGUAAUAC